UACGUAGGGUGCGAGCGUUAAUCGGAAUUACUGGGCGUAAAGUGUGCGCAGGCGGCAGAGCAAGUCGAGUGUGAAAGCCCCGGGCUUAACUCGGAACGGUCAACUGAUACUGUGCGACUAGAGUGCAGAAGGGGCAACUGGAAUUCUCGGUGUAGCGGUGAAAUGCGUAGAUAUCGAGAGGAACACCUGCGGCGAAGGCGGGUUGCUGGGCUGACACUGACGCUGAGGCGCGAAAGCCAGGGGAGCGAACGGG
rnacentral:rRNA from 1 species